rnacentral:rRNA from 1 species
CGCUAUGGCUGUAUCGCAUAGAUACACUCCAUCUCUUGAUCUCAGGAGUUAAGCAACAUGCAGGGUCAGUACUUGGAUGGGAGACCACCAAGGAAGACUGGAUGCUGUAGCCG